AGGUCAUUUCAAAGAGGGCUUGUGGGAAUGUGAAACCAAGAGCUCUUAACGCAGUGACCACAGAAUGAAGUUCUCCACAGUACGUCAUAGUCACUCAGUAGUGCUAUGUUUUCCUGAGGAGAAAGACAU
ensembl:snoRNA